GCCUCUGGGAUGUGGGCGUCCCAGACAAAGCCGCAUUGAUUGCAGCCCAGGCCGGCCCGGCCGCGAGGCCGCAAGCACUGGGUGGACCGUCGGACGGAUCGCGGGACCGAACGACGGACGCCCGGGGCCGGCGUGGGGCUGGUCGGCUGCCCGGGGCGAGGGCGGGAGACUUCCUGCUCAGAACCAGUCCGACCAGCUUGGCGCUGGGACGCCUCCCCGCGCUGUGCCGCGGCCCGGGGUGCCGAGGAGCUGGGCUGGGGGCGGGGACCCCUGCCGGGAACCCGACUUAGCCCGGAGACGCUCAAGAGCAAGAAGCCGAGCGGAAAAGUUAGCGCAGGUUGUGGAAAUCAUAUGAGUUCCCUGCUAGUGACAUUGGAGUGCACAGAUGAAUAUCGACAAGGCUCCAGGGAGUUCUGAACAGAGGCCAAGGCAGGCCCUGGAGCUGUAUGCUGCUUACAGGAAAAGAGAAAGAGGGGACCCCAAUAGUCUAGGUCCCUGGAUCCUCUGACCCGGGGCCUGACACUGUCAGGGAAGCUGCUGUCUCCCUAGGGACCUACUGAAUGUUCUUCCCAUGGCUGGUCAGUGCUGACACCUCAACACAGGAAGAGAAAUACUCCUAUGAAGUCAUCUGAAGCCUGGUCAUGCCAGGGACACUUCACGAAGGCAGGAACAGUCCUGUUUCUAAAAGCCCAAAAUCUAACAGCCUCUCUACAGAUAUAAAAGCCCAAAGACAUGGAAAGUUUGUAUGCAGACAACCCUAGAAGUAAGGAAAAGUGAAUGACAUAUAUGUCAAUGCCCAGAAAGUUCCUUGAGAUCAGACACUGUACAUUUAUGGGAUACUUUCUAAGUGCCAGCUACUGUACUUGGUGCUGGAUCAGUGCAUCCAUUUCCCGGGGCUCCCGUGAUGAAGUGCCACAAACUGGAUGGCUUUAAACAACAGAAGUUUACUCUCUCACAGUUCUGAAGGUUAGAAGUCUGCCAUGAAGAUGUGAGCACAGCCAGCCUCUCUCCAAAGGCUCCAGAGGAGAAUCCUUCCUUGCUUCUUCCCAGAGCUCCUUGGCAUACAGCUGCAUUACUCCAAGAUUUGCCUCUCUUGUCACACAGCAUUCUGCCUGUGUCUCUUGUUUGUGUUCAAGUAUCCCUCCACCCUAAUUUAGUAUGACCUCAUUUUAGCUUGAUUAUGCCUGCAAAUACCCUAUUUCCAAAUGAGGUCACAUUCACAGGUACCAGAAGUUAUGAAUUGAACACAUCUUUUUUGGGAUGUGUUCUACCCAUUAUAAUUCAUUCUACCCACUAUAAUCACAAGUGGCUUUGACAUUCAGUGACACAAAGAUGAUAAGGACUCGGUUCCUGACCUCAGGACAUUCUCAGUCUAUCAGUGAAGACAAACACAUGCUGGUGAACACACACACAUACACAAGCACACAUAUACCCCGAGCCUCAUUCAAGUCAGACUGUGAUUAAAAAUGGAAAUUGUGUCAUCAGGAGGGAUUGGGGAAGUCUUCACACAAGAAAGAACAUCUAAGUUGGGCCUUGAAGGGCUUGAGGUUGGCCCGCAGAUCCAUGGACACCUUGUGCUUGGAGCCCAGCAGGGCCCGGAGCAUGGCGUCAGCCGAGACACGGACUCGACGCAGGGGCGGGCGCUUGAACUUCCCACGGAGGUCCAUCACCUUCAGCUUCAGGUCCUUAAUCUGUAGGUGAGAAGCGCCCGGGGCUCACUGGAGAGGCAGCUAGCCACAGGACACCCUUCCUGAGGACCUCAGACUGCUAGGGUUCCAGCCAGAGAUACACCUUAAAUUGUCCACCCUUGAAGCCAGACCUAUCAGCAGUCACCAACCUUUUUGUCACCAGGGACCGGUUUUGUGGAAGACACUUUUUCCACGGAGAGGUGGUGGGGUGGUUUCAGGAUGAAACUGUUCCACCUCAGACCAUCAGGCAUGAGUUUGAUUCUCAUAAGGAGCGUGCAACCUAGAUCCCUCACAUGCACAGUUCACAAUAGGGUUCACACUCCUGUGAGAAUCUAAUGCCGCCGCUGAUCUGACAGGAGGCAGAGCUCAGGCGGGAAUGCUCAUUUGCCCACUGCUCACCUGCUGCAGUGUGGCCCAGUUCCUAACAGGCCACGGACAGGUACUGGUCCACAGCCCAAGAGUUGGAGAUCCCUGCUCUAGGACAGUCAGACCCACCCAUCCCUUUGCAAAUAACCACUGCACAUUUGCUGAUAAACGGAUGGUUAAGUGGACAGAUAAAGCCUAUUAGCCGUUGCUAACACUAUAGCCUUGAAUAAAAGGGGCGGCUCCACCAGACUGAGACUUGUCUGAUUUGGAAGCCCUAUUUGGAGUGCAGGGCUGCUUCCUCUUGUUCCUGCAGCCUCAUCCCUGCUUCUAACUUAUUCCUCCCCAGUGAGCCUUCAAAGCAGCUCACAGCCUUGGUCCAGCAGGGUGAUAAACUUACAGGUCCUAGACCCCUGGAGGAAUUCCCAGGGUGUGAUCUCUAGGGGGAGUUCUUAGGAGCUUGGUGACCCCACAUAUAAUUCCUGGUGGGCAGAAGUGGGAAGGAGAGAAGUGGCUUGUGCUCCCUCCCUGCCCCCUCCUCACUGCCUGGACAAAUGCCCCAAAGGAGCCCUGUCCUUCUCUGCUCUGCCCCUCCCCACUGGAGCAGGGUCUGGGUGGAGCUAAUCCUCCCACACCCCAUGCUAAGGGAGCACAGAGCACCGGAGUGGAAGCCAGAGACCAGCACUGGUCCCAGGACCACCACUGUGCAACCUAGGACAAGUCUUUGGCCUCUCUGAUCCUGAGUGUUCUCCUCUGCAAGGUGCAGAUAAUAGCCCCUACUUCAUCCACAGGCCUAUAAGGAGGAUCAAAGGCUAUAACGAACAUGAAAGCACUUCACAAAGGUAAGACGUUAUUAACAGGCAUAUGAUUAUUUGUGUGGGUGGAUAAAGAGAGCAGCUUCUGUUAGGCUGAUGAGCCCACAUGGCAGGUAGGGAGGAAGUUUGUACUUUUCAUGUGUGAUUAUCCACUCUACCCAUCUCCAGCCCUAUGGGGCUAGGGCAGACAAACCAAAGUUUCCUGCUUAAGUGGCCCCUUCCUAGGCCCUGUGGAAGGAGGGGACCUCCCAUGGCUGCUGCAUCCGUGCCCAUGCCCCUGCCCAACCCAUUAUGGCCAUGCCCCUUCCCUUCCUUAGACUCACCUCCCUGGUGUUGUGGAGGCAUUUGGCCUCAAUGUCGUAUCGCUCCUCAUCCACCACCUCCACCUUGGCGUGCAGCUCCCGGCACAGGUCCUGGGGGCCGCAGAUGGAUCAUGCAGGUGUGAAGAAGAGGGGAACAGAGACAUCAGUUUCCAGCCCUUGACCCUCUCCCCAGCCCCUUUGCAAGACCUGGGAUCCAGAGAGGAGCUGACAGUCUCCUCCACUCUGAGGCUCAUGACGGGCAAUAGCUCAAAGGGUAUGCCCUCUGUUCUCCUGUCUGAAUGUCAUGAUUUCUUAAAAAAUAGUAUUCCUUCGCUUGAACCCAGGAGGCGGAGGUUGCAGUGAGCUGAGAUCACACCACUGCACUCCAGCCUGGUGACAGAGCGAGACUCCGUCUCAAAAAAACAAACAAACAAACAAAAAACUAGUAUCCUUGGCUGGGCACGGUGGCUCAUCCCUGUAAUCCCAGCACUUUGGGAGGCCAAGGUGGGGGAUCACCUGAGGUCAGGAGUUCAAGACCAGCCUGACCAAUGUGGUGAAACCCUGUCUCUACUAAAAAUACAAAAAUUAGCCAGGCAUGGUGGUGUGCACCUGUAGUCCUAGCUACUUAGUAGAUUGAGACAGGAGAAUCACUUGAAUCUGGGACACAGAGGUUGCAGUGAGCCAAGAUCACGCCACUGCACUCCAGCCUGGGCAACAGAAUGAGACUCUGCCUCAAAAAAAAAAAAGUAUUCUUUCAUCAUGGCUCAUUGCAGCCUCAACCUCCUGGGCUCAAGUGACCCUCCCAUCUCAUUUUUUUAAACUUUGUAUAAAGAAAAGGUCUCACACUAUGUUGCCCAGGCUGGUCUCGAACUCCUGGGUUCAAGUAAUCCUCCUGCCUCCGCCUUUCAAAAUGCUGGGAUUACAGGCAUGAGCCACUGUGCCCAGCAAAAUAAAAUAGUUUUCUUAUGAUAAAAGUAAUGCGUUAAUUUUAGACAUUUUGAAAACUAUGUAUUAAACAAAAAUAAUAAAAAUUAAAAUACCUAGUGAUGCCACCACCCAGGGAUACUUAGUAACAUUUUGAUAUACUUCCUUCCAGUCUCUUUUCUCUAUAAUCACUGGCAUUUAACCAAUUUACCAGUGUUCUGAAAACAUUGAAGACCAAAUUCUAGGAAAGGGUAGACAAGUCCUUGGAAAAGUGGGGCUUCUCCCAACCCCGGCCGCCUCCCCACUCCAUGCCACCACACUGGCUGAUUGUGAAGCUGGGCCGCCCAGCCCAGGCAAGUCACGCCUCCCCUCUGAUGCUCAGUUCAGUGCCCGUAAAAUGGAAUCUAAUGUUCCCACCUCACAGGUGGUUGUGAAGAUUAAAUGAGACCAUGUAAGGGAGGAGUGCCCUGUAAAUUAUGGAGCCUUGAGCUGGUGUUAGUUCAGGCUCCUGCCGCCUGGUCCUUGGAGCCACCCACACAGCACCUCCAGCCCCACCCUGCCCCGCCCCACCUGCCAGGCUAACCUGCAGGGCACUGAGGGACAGGCCACGGGUCUGCAGCGUGGGGAUGCGCUCUGCCAGGUAGCGCACCUUCUCAGCCUCGCGCUCCUCGUGCUCCUGCUCCCAGCAUUCCUUGGCCUUGGCCAGCAUCAGGCUCUGGACAGGACACACCUGCUGAGCUGGGGGCCUCACAUCUCCCACCCGGCAUCAGGGAAUGAGGGGAGGGCAGCCACAGCCUGGGCCAACUCUGAGACCACUGUCCAGUGUAGAAGUGUAUGCAGCAGCCAUGGACAGGCCACCAUGAGGGUACACCCAGUGGCUGCACACAAUGUUCCUCAAGCCCUGGAACUUGUUUUCCCCGGACAGUCUUCCUCUUAUCCACUUACUGUCUGUUUUGACCCACAAAACUCCAAAGAGAGAAACACAUAUGAAAAUAAAGGAAGUCCCUCUGCCUGCAUGAGUAGCUUCCCACUCUGAAGCUGGUCACCACCUACUCUAGGGACCACAGGCGGAUGCCAGAAUCCAUACUCGAGGAUCCCACCUACUGAUCACCUGAGCCUGGCACUGGCUCCAGCAAUGCUGGACUCCUGCCCCUCAUCAUCCUCACUCUGGCCUCCUUCCUUUCUCCUUGCCAUAAUCCUCCACAUCCCUUCAGAGUCUGCUCUGCUGCCCCUCUGCCUCCCACUGGGCAUCCCCCCACAGCCAGCCCCCAGCCUCACCUUCAGCAAGAGUUUGCGGGAGGCAGUGAUCUUGGGUUUUCUCUGUGGGCAAGAAGAGAGAGAGACAGGUGGUGAGGCAGAGGCUGCAGAACUGGAAUUCUGGUCUAGGACAAGACAAGUGCCAGCCAGCGUUCUCUAUCUUUAUCCGGAAUCCUCUGCUCACCCUACGGUGCCUUAAAAGCUCAUCUUUGUUAUUUAACCUCUGCAGUUCAGAGAAGGCUGCAGUCAGCUACCUUGACCUAGGGGCUGAAGCCUUAACUUCCCACUCUGAUUCUGCUGCUGCUGAAAUCUUGUAAGAUACUAUGAGGGCCACAUGGCUUCUACAGGCACCUCCUUCCUCAUCUGUAAAUAAGGAUAUUAGGACCCCCCCCCUUACUUAGUUCACAGAGUUAUUGCAGAUGAAAUGAGAUCAUGGAUGUGCAAAUCCUUUGAAAAUCGUAAAAGCUAUGUGUUUUCACACUCCAGGUAGUAAUACAGCAAUACCUUGAUGAUCCGUCAUGCUGCAUAAAUAAGCUGUGAAUUUCCCAAAUAAAUGAAACGUAUCUAUGUAGACCUCAAAACUUUUAAAAAUGUUAACACCACCCAUACAAAUCUUUCUAAGAUAUAAAACCACUGUUUUAUCUUCUUAUCAAAAAUCCUAAACAUGUUCUUGCUUACUAGUCCUAGCCCUGUGACAGUGGUCCCUCAGGGUUGGCAAAGGUGAGUAGUAGGGCUGCUUGGUCCCCAACUAAUGAGACUGUGAUGCCUUUCGAGCACUAGAGUAUCUUCUGGGCCAUAGGCGGUCACUUCUCAUUGCCAGCAGGAAGCAUCCUACCUAGACUUAAUGUGCUGUGAGCCGGCAGAGCAUGGCUCUCAAAUGUUAUUCCAGGGUGUCAAGUAGAAGUGAUUAGGCUUUGAGAGGGAAGUUCUCAUGAGAGACAAUGGAUGAGUUUCAGCAAAUGGAAUGUGUAACUUCUAUUCUGACUGUUCAGAGUGGUUGGUUUGUCUUUUCCUCUCCUAAAGAUUUUUGUUACAUUUCAGAUAAGUGCAAUUUCAAAAGAAAGAGCCUAUGACUCUAAGCAUUACUACCAUGGUUUACACACUGUAAUGUACACAUGGCAAAUGUUUGACUGCGAUCUUAUUUCCCCACCACUUGGUGAGCCGAUGGCCACCUCAUUUGACCAUCAGUCAGUGAGGACUCACUUUAAUACGAGCCUCAGCAAAACUUAAAAAUUCAUAUGAAUGUUGAAAAGUAACAUGUUCAAUUCUUACUGAGAAUCUCUGUGCCAAAUAUCCCCUCCAUCAAUACUGCUAAUUCUCACUGUUUCCAUCCCUGGGCCCACAUCCCUAUCCCUGCCAUCCCCAUCCUUGGACUGUACAUAGGCUGUGAUCUCAGUAGCCUGGUAAGUCUGGAGUGUAUAGAAUGGCCAGUGUCAGGGUUUUCUAACACCUGAGGGAUUUAAGGACAUCUCUUUGCUCCUCAAUCAAUGUUCAGCCAUUGGGCAAGGGUGGAAUAACCCAAUGACUAUCCCUUACCCUUCCAAUAUAGCUUUGCACAGGAUCAGCUCUGCAUGGAAUAGGAUGGUCCCCCCAGGACUGGACCAGCUCUCAGAGUGGGUGAGGAAGAGCUUGUGCUCAGCAAGGAUGCAGAGUCACACCCAACCCUGCUGCAAUACCAGUCCUUCCAGUGACAUGGUACACUGGCACAGCAACUCCCUGGACACUAGGAAGCCCCACAUCCAGAAUCUUCACCUGACGUUUCCAUCUCCUGGGAAUUUGUUCAGCCACUAAAUACCCUACACCCCCUGGACUCCCACCAGGCCUUAACACAGGCUCUUCCCUCUCCUCAGAUGCCAACCCCACCUUCCCACUUUUACCAGUCGUUAGAGUUAACCAAGACAGAGAUACCCCAAAUAUCACUUACCUCGCUUCAGGCAUCCAUCACAGGAAGGACGGGGAAAGAGCAGAACACAGAGUGAGUAUGAACAAUGAGGAUUACAUGUGCAGUCGCAGAACCUCACAGACCAGCUUGGGGGAGGAGGGGGCCAGUGACAACAGUGAGCCAGAAAGUCAUCAGGCAUCAGGCAAGGGGAGCGGUUUGAGGUUCCGGCAGAAUAAAAUAAAAAUUCAACAGCCCUUUGAACUACGGGGCAUUCUUAUUGGGAGGUACUGGGCAUCGUAAGUUGGGGACAAGUGGUGGAAGGGGAGGGAAGCCUUAGCGUAGGGUUCCAGCAACGUGAAAGCAUCCAUCCACGGGUGCGUGGGUAAAUUCCCAAAGCUUUGUUCACCUACUGCACCAGUGUUAAGUGGUGGCCUGGUACAUGCAAUUCAUGUGAUAGAUCAAGACAGGAAAUCUCUGAGGCACAAGCCAAAAAGGCACUCCCAGGGCAACCUGGGAGUGAGUUCUGCUCAAUGGCUGGGAGGACACAGGCAGCACAGGGGAAACCAUCAAGUGCUGCCCCUGUUUGAGGACCUGGUCUCUUAGGGAAAAGCUUUGGGGGUUGAAAACAUGGUGCCUCCACUGCGGGGCUGAAGUCUGUGGCAAAGGGACUUGCCUUCCUGGGGCCCCAGAUGGCAGUGAGACUACUUACACUUCCGGCAUGGUGGCAGUGAGACAGCACCUAGGGGGCACAGAGGAAUCAUUCAUAAGGGAAAGUGGAAACCCCUGCCCCUGCCCAGCUGGGCCUUGGGAGCCCAGCCUAGGAGACAGAGUCAGAACACAAAAGGAAGAAAUCAGACACAUUGGAUUCCAGCAGGUCAAGAUGGGACAGGGUUGCAGGGCAGGGGUCAGCUAACUACAGCCCAUAAGCCUGACCUGGCUCCCAGCCUGUUUUUGCUUAAAGAAUUGUAAGCUUUUUUUUUUUUUUUUUUUUUAAGAAUUUGCAACAGAAACCUUAUGUGAGCUACAAAGCUAUCUGGCCCUUUCCAGAUAAAGCUUGCCAAUCCCAGUGGAGAACAGAAUGGAGUCCAUAGGAAAUAUGUUUGGAAAGUGAGAGCAGCUGGGCGCAGUGGCUCAUGCCUGUAAUCCCAGCACUUUGGGAGGCCAAGGCGGGCAGUUCAUGAGGUAAGGAGUUCAAGACCAGCCUGGCCAAUAUGGUCAAACCCCGUCUCUACUAAUGAUACAAAAAUUAGCCAGCAUGGUGGUGCACGCCUAUAGUCCCAGCUACUCAGGAGGCUGAGGCAGAAGAAUUGCUUGAACCCAGGAGGCGGAGGUUACAGUGAGCCGAGAUCGCACCACUGCACUCCAGCCUGGGUAACAGAAUGAGUCUCCUUCUCAAAAAAAAAAAAAAAAAAAUAAGUGAGAGUGUAGCUCACUCAUGAGGGCCUUGAAGGACAGGCUGAGUUUAGACUUUAUCCUGUGGAAUAAGGGUGGUCAUUGAAGGGCUCAGAGAGAGGAAGGCCUAGAAAGUGAAUGAGCAGAGUGGAUGCUGGAAAACGGGUAGCUGCCACAUGGCACAACUCCAUCCACAGAUGGCAAUGCAACUGGCACCUCCAGGGUGGGGCAGUGGGAGGCCUUGAGUGGGAGAGAAUAAGCCGCAAGGCAGGGCAAAUCCCGUGUUCACCCUAGUCUGUCUUUCCCCUCUCUGGGUUGGUUUUCCUCUCUGCAAAAUUAGGG
rnacentral:lncRNA from 1 species